CCUACGGGGAGCUGCAGUGGGGAAUAUUGCACAAUGGGGGAAACCCUGAUGCAGCGACGCCGCGUGAGUGAAGAAGUAUCUCGGUAUGUUAAGCUCUGUCAGCAGGGAAGAAAAUGACGGUACCUGACCAAGAAGCGCCGGCUAACUACGUGCCAGCAGCCGCGGUAAUAGGUAGGGCGCAAGCGUUAUCCGGAUUUACUGGGUGUAAAGGGAGCGUAGGCGGCAGGGGAAGGCUGGAGUGAAAGGCGGGGGCUCAACCCCCGGACUGCUCUGGAAACUGCCAGGCUGGAGUGCAGGAGAGGUAAGUGGAAUGCGUGGUGUAGCGGUGAAAUGCGUAGAUAUUAGGAGGAACACCAGUGGCGAAGGCGGCUUACUGGACUGUAACUGACGUUGAGGCACGAAAGCGUGGGGAGCAAACAGGAUUAGAUACCCGUGUAGUC
rnacentral:rRNA from 1 species